rnacentral:rRNA from 1 species
UACGGAGGGUGCAAGCGUUAUCCGGAUUCACUGGGUUUAAAGGGUGCGUAGGUGGGCAGGUAAGUCAGUGGUGAAAUCUCCGGGCUUAACUCGGAAACUGCCAUUGAUACUAUCUGUCUUGAAUACCGUGGAGGUUAGCGGAAUAUGUCAUGUAGCGGUGAAAUGCUUAGAUAUGACAUAGAACACCAAUUGCGAAGGCAGCUGGCUACACAAAUAUUGACGCUGAGGCACGAAAGCGUGGGGAUCAAACAGG